AACGAACGCUGGCGGCAGGCCUAACACAUGCAAGUCGAACGCUCCGCAAGGGGAGUGGCGCACGGGUGAGUAACGCGUGGGAAUAUGCCCUUCGGUUCGGAAUAACACAGGGAAACUUGUGCUAAUACCGGAUACGAUCUACGGAUGAAAGAUUUAUCGCCGAGGGAGUAGCCCGCGUAGGAUUAGCUAGUUGGUGAGGUAAUGGCUCACCAAGGCGACGAUCCUUAGCUGGUCUGAGAGGAUGAUCAGCCACACUGGGACUGAGACACGGCCCAGACUCCUACGGGAGGCAGCAGUGGGGAAUAUUGGACAAUGGGGGAAACCCUGAUCCAGCCAUGCCGCGUGAGUGAUGAAGGCCUUAGGGUUGUAAAGCUCUUUCGCCAGGGAAGAUAAUGACGGUACCUGGAAAAGAAGCCUCGGCUAACUCCGUGCCAGCAGCCGCAGUAAUAC
rnacentral:rRNA from 1 species